rnacentral:rRNA from 1 species
GUGGGGAAUCUUGCGCAAUGGGCGAAAGCCUGACGCAGCCAUGCCGCGUGAAUGAUGAAGGUCUUAGGAUUGUAAAAUUCUUUCACCGGGGACGAUAAUGACGGUACCCGGAGAAGAAGCUCCGGCUAACUUCGUGCCAGCAGCCGCGGUAAUACGAAGGGGGCUAGCGUUGCUCGGAAUUACUGGGCGUAAAGGGCGCGUAGGCGGACAGCUUAGUCAGAGGUGAAAGCCCAGGGCUCAACCUUGGAAUUGCCUUUGAUACUGGCUGUCUUGAGUUUGGGAGAGGUAAGUGGAACUGCGAGUGUAGAGGUGAAAUUCGUAGAUAUUCGCAAGAACACCAGUGGCGAAGGCGGCUUACUGGUCCGGUACUGACGCUGAGGUGCGAAAGCGUGGGGAGCAAACAGGAUUAGAUACCCCUGUAGUCC